rnacentral:rRNA from 1 species
AUGGAAAAGAUGGUGUUCGGAGCUAUAUCUUGGAAAAUAUUUCUUGUCAUUCCAUUAAAUUUCCGAGAAAUGGAGGAGCUGUACAUGGAUGGCGAGAAGGCGGCCAGACCCGAGUUCACCUACCCCUACUGCUAUGAGGACCAUGAGGUCGCCUCCUUGUGCGCGCAUGUAGAAGAGGAGGACCCAUUGGAGUGGAGAUAUAGUUUGCACAAUGUUCUGGUCCAUCAAAGUAUUUUAGAUGUGCAAAAGAGUAGUGUCUUGGGGUAG